rnacentral:sRNA from 1 species
AUGUACCACUUGUACACUCCGGUUCCUGCGCGCCGUCCGCACCCAACUGACAACUGCUCGCAACGUUUUGUCAGCC